ACAAUGGGCUGAGCUAGAGCAAGGCUUGGCUCAGCUGAUAUUCAGCUCGUUUAUACUCUAUUUGGAUCUAGUAGCUGGCUUCCAUCAAACUCAAUUCAUAUGUAUCCAAAUGCUGACCCUUAAAUGUCCCCCUUUUUCUGUCCUAAGCAAAACAGUGAUAAAGAUCACCACUUAAUCUCAGGUUAUUUUACAAUUUACAUGGCUACCCG
rnacentral:lncRNA from 1 species